rnacentral:lncRNA from 1 species
CUUCCUCUGCUAUCGCCUUCUGCCUCUCCGGGGCAUGACUCCGGAUUUUUUCUUUUGUCGGUCGAUGCUUUGGAUCGACUGCCAGAUGAUGCUCCAUGACUUCCGUGUCAAUCCCCGACAUGUCCGCCGGAACCCAAGCGAAAACGUCCGCAUUCCUUCGGAGGAAAUCAAUAAGACGCGUCCGCACCUCCUCCCCCAGGUUAGAGCCAAUUAACGCCACAUGCUCCGCGUUCCCAUCAUUCAGGGGGACUGGUACCAAAUCUUCGAUUGGGCCGCCCCUUUCUUCGGUGAGGUCGUCGCGAGCAUCCAAUCCAUCGACGGGAUAGGGGUCAGCCCGAUCGCUUCUUUGCAAGGCGAUGUUGUAGCAAUGUCUGGCCAGGGCUUGGUCUCCCCGGACCUCUCCGAUUCCCUGGUUGGUGGAGAACUUCAACUUCAAAUGGUAGGUUGAAACGAUAGCUCUGAGAGCAUUGAGGCCGGGUCGGCCAAGGAUUGCAUUGUAGGCGGAUGGCGCCUUUACCACCAAGAAAUUCAC